rnacentral:rRNA from 1 species
AUUGAACGCUGGCGGCAGGCCUAACACAUGCAAGUCGAACGGUAGCACAGAGGAGCUUGCUCCUCGGGUGACGAGUGGCGGACGGGUGAGUAAUGUCUGGGGAUCUGCCCGAUAGAGGGGGAUAACCACUGGAAACGGUGGCUAAUACCGCAUAACGUCGCAAGACCAAAGAGGGGGACCUUCGGGCCUCCCACUAUCGGAUGAACCCAGAUGGGAUUAGCUAGUAGGCGGGGUAACGGCUCACCUAGGCGACGAUCCCUAGCUGGUCUGAGAGAAUGACCAGCCACGCUGGAACUGAGACACGGUCCAGACUCCUACGGGAGGCAGCAGUGGGGAAUAUUGCACAAUGGGCGCAAGCCUGAUGCAGCCAUGCCGCGUGUAUGAAGAAGGCCUUCGGGUUGUAAAGUACUUUCAGCGGGGAGGAAGGCGAUGUGGUUAAUAACCGCAUUGAUUGACGUUACCCGCAGAAGAAGCACCGGCUAACUCCGUGCCAGCCGCCGCCGUAA